AUUGAACGCUGGCGGCAGGCCUAACACAUGCAAGUCGAACGAGUGGCGGACGGGUGAGUAAUGUCUGGGCAACUGCCUGAUGGAGGGGGAUAACUACUGGAAACGGUAGCUAAUACCGCAUACCAUCGGAUGUGCCCAGCUGGGAUUAGCUAGUAGGGGGGGUAUAGGCUCACCUAGGGGACGAUCCCUAGCUGGUCGGAGAGGAUGACCAGCCACACUGGAACUGAGACACGGUCCAGACUCUUACGGGAGGCAGCAGUGGGGAAUAUUGCACAAUGGGCGCAAGCCUGAGGCAGCCAUGCCGCGUGUAUGAAGAAGGCCUUCGGUUUGUAAAGUACUUUCAGCGGGGAGGCGUUACCCGCAGAAGAAGCACCGGCUAACUCCGUGCCAGCAGCCGCGGUAAUAC
rnacentral:rRNA from 1 species